AAAAAGAAGCAUAUAUAGAAACCUUUAAACAAAGAAAAAAUCCUACACUUCACCAUUCUGACGCCUCCACUACCUUCCCAAAUCUCUACCUCCUUAUCAAAUUUUUCUUACAUGAAUGAAACCUUGACUCUCUUGAAAGCUCUCUCUUCAUAUAAGAGCUUCUUGGUCUGAUUGUUGGGUACUCCAAUUAAGAGAAUCACUCUACCAUCUCUAACUGUAAGUAUAUUUUAUAAUAAAUAUCUUUUUAAUUAUUUUGAAAUGCUUUUGUCCUUUCUUAUGUCAAAUUGAUUUGUGCAAUUCUUAUGGCAUUCCAAGUAGAUUGUUUGUCCUAAUUUCAUUUUUAUGUCCUAUUUUUAUUUGGUCUUUUAGUUAUUUUUGUCAUUCUUUUUUGCUCUAUUCAUUGUCUUCCUGAAGUUAGAAAAAUUUUCAUAAUAAUAGGAAGGGAAAUCAAUGAAUACCUCACUUAAAAUAGAUAUUUUGAUAGAGUUAUUGAGAGUGAUUCAAAUUUGACGAAUAGUACUAUUAUGUUACUACCAAUGAAAAUCCUCUCUUUAUGAAAUAUGUAUAUUUAGAUAAAUAUUUUUGUUGCAUUUCAAUGUAUUCAUAUAUAUAUAAAGAAAGGAUAAAUAUAAAUUAGGAUUAAAGAUUGUUUCAAAUAUAUAUAUAAUGCAUAUAUACAAUAACAUUGGUACGUAGGAGGGUAGAUGUAGCAUCAUCAAGCAAGAUUUAUAAUUUAUACUCCUUUUCAUUAAUAAUUAAUAUUCACAAAAGAAAUAUCACAAGUCAACAAAACAAAAUAUAUAACAAUAUAUAUAUUAUUAUUUUUUGAUCAGUGAUUGAUAUUGGGAUAUUGGGAUGUACAUUACACUAUAUAUAUAAAAGUCAAUCAUUUACAAAAAAAAAAAACUAUAUAUUUAAGGCUCACUUUUAUUUUGAUUCAAAUUUAUACUAUUGCAGUUGUUAUUUUCUCAUUACUAUUACCGAGCUCUACAUAGUGAAAAUUAUAUCAUUAUUUUUUAAACUAUCUGUUAGUGUCAAGGUUGCUUUGCUUUAAUCAUAAUAAUAAAUUAUGGGACCUUUCAUAAAUUUAUUUUCUUUUGGAUAGUGAUUAAUUUGUGAAGAUUAAAAAUUCUUUGGUACUGGUUGAUGUGUUAAGUCUUCCAACUAGUGGAAGGUGCCAAUUAUUUAAAUUUGAGCUCCAAAAUUCAUCAGGCAUUGAAUGUAUCAAAUUUUUUAUAUGAUCUUUAGGCUUGGAAUUAAAUCUUCAUUGUGAAAUUAGUUAAAGUUACAUUACUAACAGAUUGAAAUGAAAAUAAAAAAAAAAAUUAUAUUCUUUGUUACUUGGUGGUCCCUGGCAUCAAUAAUCUAUAGAGAAUUAAAAAUGAGGUUACAUAUUUCAAGACAAUAGAAUGUCCUGUUUUUUACUUUCUAAUAUAUUGACUUAUGUAUAUUUAGUCUUUUAUCUAAAUGUAUGUGUAUAUAGUAUACACUAUUAUAAAUGACGAUUGUUCUUUAAUUCA